rnacentral:tRNA from 1 species
AGGGAUGUAGCGCAGCAGCAUAGCGUCUGCCUGGCAAGCAUAAGGUCCUGAGUUCGACCUCAGUAACCCCA